rnacentral:rRNA from 1 species
CGAAUUGUAGUUUAGAGAAGUGUUUUCGGGGAUAGCUCGGGUGUAGGUCCUUUGGAACGAGGCAUCAGAGAGGGUGAGAAUCCCGUACCGCCCAGAGUCUAUUCUCAUGUGAUACACUUUCAACGAGUCGGGUUGUUUGGGAUUGCAGCCCAAAAUGGGUGGUAAAUACCAUCUAAAGCUAAAUAUUGGCGAGAGACCGAUAGCGAACAAGUACCGUGAGGGAAAGAUGAAAAGAACUUUGAAAAGAGAGUUAAACAGUACGUGAAAUUGCCAAAAGGGAAGCGCUUGGAACCAGUGUUGCGAGCCGUAAUCAGCCGUCCUCCCGGGCGGUGCACUUGCGGUGAGCAGGUCAACAUCAAUUAAGUUUGAGUUAAAAAGCCUUGAUCGGUCCUUCGGGUCUAGUCUUGGUUAUGGCUUGAGCUUGAUUGAGGACUGCUUUUACAGGAUGUUGACAAAAUGGUUUCAAACGACCCGUCUUGAAACACGGACCAAGGAGUCUAACAAAUACGCGAGUAUUCGGGUG